rnacentral:rRNA from 1 species
GAUGAACGCUAGCGGGAGGCUUAACACAUGCAAGUCGAGGGGGCAGCAUAGGGUAGCAAUACUCUGAUGGCGACCGGCAAACGGGUGAGUAACGCGUAUGCAACCUACCCUGUACAGGGGGAUAACCCGGAGAAAUUCGGACUAAUAUCCCGUAAUAAUAUCCGGAGGCAUCUUUGGAUAUUUAAAGUUCCGACGGUACGGGAUGGGCAUGCGUAACAUUAACUGGUUGGUAAGGUAACGGCUUACCAAGGCUAUGAUGUUUAGGGGUCCUGAGAGGGUGGUCCCCCACACUGGUACUGAGACACGGACCAGACUCCUACGGGAGCAGCAGUGAGGAAUAUUGGUCAAUGGGCGCAAGCCUGAACCAGCCAUCCCGCGUGCAGGAAGACGGCCCUAUGGGUUGUAAACUGCUUUUCCAGGGAGAGAAACUUACGCACGUGUUGCGUGACUGACGGUACCCUGGGAAUAAGCAUCGGCUAACUCCGUGCCAGCAGCCGCGGUAAAACGUGCGUG